rnacentral:misc_RNA from 1 species
UACGGAGGAUCCAAGCGUUAUCCGGAAUUACUGGGCGUAAAGAGUUGCGUAGGUGGCAGAGUAAGUGAGAUAUGAAAGCGUGUGGCUCAACCAUACAGACAUAUUUUAAACUGCUCAGCUAGAGGAUGAGAGAGGUUAUUGGAAUUCCCUGUGUAGGAGUGAAAUCCGUAGAUAUAGGGAGGAACACCGAUGGCGUAGGCAGAUAACUGGCUCAUUCCUGACACUAAGGCACGAAAGCGUGGGGAGCAAACAGG